rnacentral:rRNA from 1 species
AUUGAACGCUGGCGGCAGGCUUAACACAUGCAAGUCGAACGGAGUGGCGCACGGGUGAGUAAUGUAUAGCUAAUCUGCCCUACACUAGAGGACAACAGUUGGAAACGACUGCUAAUCCUCUAUAGUGUAGGAUGAGGCUAUAUUGUAUCAGCUAGUUGGUGAGGUAAUGGCUAACCAAGGCUAUGACCCAUAACUGGUCUGAGAGGAUGAUCAGGCACACUGUAACUGAGACACGGUCCAGACUCCUACUGGAUGAAGCAGUAGGGAAUAUUGCUCAAUGGGGGAAACCCUGAAUCAGCAACGCCGCGUGGAGGAUGACAUUUUUCGGAGCGAAAACUCCUUUUGUUAGGGAAGCGGUACCUAACGAAUAAGCACCGGCUAACUCCGUGCCAGCAGCCGCGGUAAUUC